UUGCUCACACAAAGCCUGUUUGGUGGUCUCUUCACACGAGUGAAAUUUGGUGCCAUGACUCAGAUCGGGGGACCUCCCUUGGGAGAUCAAUCCUCGGUCCUCCUGCUCUUUGCUCUGUGAGAAAGAUCCACCUACGACCUCAGGUCCUCAGAACGACCAGCCCAAGAAACAUCUCAACAAUUUCAAAUCCGGACCCCACUGAAAGUCAGACUGUUCAACUCACCUGGCAGCCACUCCCAGAGCCCCUGGAACUCUGGCCCAAGGCUCUCUGACUGACUCCUUCCCAGAUCUUCUUGGCUUAGCGGCUGAAGACUGACACUGCCCGAUCGCCUCAGAAGCCCCCUAGACCAUCACGGACGCCGAGCUUCAGGUGCUCCUGAGGAAUUCACAGGAGACAAGACUGGGAGGCAAGCAAGCAAGAAUCAAGCCAUUGAACCUUUUUGUGCCAUGCUAAGAUCAUCAGAUUUCAUUCUGAACACAAUAGGAAGCCAUUAAGAAAUUGUUAAGUAACAUUACUAUCAGGUUUGUGUUUUAGAAAAAUUAGUCUACUCCAGUGACAGGAUAUGCUGGCCAGCUGAAUGUUGGAAGAAAAGUAUGGAGGAUAGAAGGAGAUUUGUGAAGAAUCCCCAUUGCAGUUCUACAAAUGGGAAAGUAUAAGGGCCUGAAUUGAGGCUCUGGCAGUGGGGAUGGAGAAGAGAGUAAGAAGGAUAGAGAAAGUUAGUUUAGAAACAAUAGUACUUAGCACUUCUAAUUGUAUAGAGAGGAUAGAAGAGGAAAAAUUAUUGUGGCUUGUGCAGCUUAUAAGGAACUAGGUAGAGGAAUAUUUGAAGAGGAAGAAAUGAGUUAAAUUUUGAACAUACUGUGCUUACCAUUCUAAGAUAACAUUAAAAUAUUCAGGAGGCAAGCCAGGCGUGGUGGCUCAUGCCUGUAAUCCCAGCCUUUGGAAGAUCAAGGCAAGCGGAUCACCUGAGACCAGGAGUUUCAGACCAGCCUGGCCAACAUGGUGAAACCCCAUCUCUACUAAAAAUACAAAAAAUUAGUUGGGUGUGGUGGCGGGCACCUGUAAUCCCAGCUACUCAGGAGGCUGAGGCAGAAGAAUCUCUUGAACCUGGGAGGUGGAGGUUGCAGUGAGCCGAGAUCGCGCCAUUGCACUCCAGCCUGGGUGACAAGAGUGAAACUCUGUCUCAAAACAAAAAAAAAAAAAAAAGAAAAUUCAGGAGACAGUUGGAGGUACGGGUUGAUGUUUGAGGAAAGAAGUCAGUGUUGGCUGUGUGUAUGUGCGACAGAGAAAGGGUGUGAGGGGAGAGAUACAAAGUUGGGGGGAAGAGAAGUCUUGGACCAAAAGGAACACCGUACUUAAGCAUCCUGCAGAUGAAGAGAGAAGUCAUAAAUGGCAGAUAAGCAGUUGGAAGGAAAACCAGAGAGAGUGCUAGAACCACAAGAGCAGUUUUGAAAAGGAGUAGGCAACUGUGUCAAAUACAACAAAGAUAUAUGCACAUUUAUUUCUUUAUACUUUUCCAUUUCCUAAAAGUUUUCUAACCUUAGUUUUUAUUUUAAUAGAUAGAAAAUCUCAUACAUAACCAACAUCACUCCAUCUUUACUCCAUCCCGAAAAUUACUUCAUUAGAAAAAAAUUCUAUUUUUAAAGCCCUGCGGGAUGACCAAAUUUGUGUUUCAGAAGGUCAUUCUAACUGAAAGUAAUUUAGAGGCUCUAGUAAUAGUUUCAGACAUGACAGAGAGAAAGUGAUGAAUUCAGGCAAUAUAUUUAUUAUUGAAUUGAUGGAAUUCUAUAUCUGAAUCAGAAAGGAAAAGUGAAGGAGAUGAAAGAGUCAUUUUUAAUUUAGAGGUAUCAGGGCUGAGCAUCUAGACAAAAGAUGGCCCUAUCCGAGAGGUUUUAAAAACUAGGUACUGAAUUGGGAAAGGUGUAUUAGCCAGGGUUCUGCAGAAAACAGAAUCAAUGGAGUUUAAAGAGAUAUAUAAGAGGAAAUUCAUUAUGGAAAUUGUCUCACAAGAUUAUGGAGACCCGGAAGUCCUACAAUAUAAAAGCUGGAGAACAAAAAAAGCCAGUGGAGUAAUUGAGUCUGAGGCUAAAACCUGAGAACCAGUGAGUGUGGUGAGUGUUAGGGGAUGCUGGCGUAGGUUUUGAGGGCUGACGACCCCAAAACCAGGAGUUCUGAUGUUCAAGGUCAGGAGAAUAUGGAAUCCCUGGUUUAAGAAGACUGAGUAAAUUCACCCUUUCUCCACUUUUUCAUUCUAUUUGGGCCAUCAAAAGAUUUGACAGUGCCUACCCACAUUGGUGAGGGUGAUCUUCUUUUCUCAGUCUACUGAUUCAAAUGCUAAUUUUUUCUAGAAUUACCCUCCUAGACACACCCAUAAAUAAUGUUUACCAGCCGUUGUGUCAUCCCACAGCCUGCUCGAGCUGAUACAUAAAAUUAACCAUUAUGGAAGGGACAAGUAGUAGAUAACAAAAGGCAAUCCAAUGUAUUCUCCUAAGUAGUGUAUUCUUUUUGCUUUCCAUUCUAGACAUAACUCUGGUGGUGAUUGGUGCUACUUAUUAAGUAUUUCCUGCUCUCCAUCUCCCUGACACGUGGUUGAAUUGCACUUCUUCUCCUACUUCUAAAUGAGUGCACCUUGUGAUGAGUUUUAGCCAACAAAUUGUGAGCAAAAGGAACUUGGGCCACUUGAACACCAGAGCACUUUCUUGCUAAUAUGAGGACCUCCACAACUCUCUUCCCUGUGACACUGUAACUGUCCUUGUUUGAGUUGAUAGCUGGACAGGGAGCCUGGGUUCUUGAAUGAGGACAAUGAGCAGAAUUCCUCUUCCUGACCCACAGUGGACACAUGUCAUGAGCACGAAUUAAACUUUUGUUGUUUAAAGCCAUGAAAACUUGGAGAAGUUAUCUCAGCAUAACCUAGUCUUUCCUGACAAAUAUAUGCUCCCUGGAUAAUUUCAUAAUCUCCCUUAUCUUCAGUUGCUAUUUAUGCACUGAUGAAUCCAGAUCCACUGCUCCAGCUCUCACUCCUGAAAUCCAGACUCUUGUUUCUAGAACUACCUGUAGAAUGUCACAAACAUUUCAAAUUGACCAGUCUAAAAUAAACUCAUCAGUUGUGACUGCAUUUUUCCUGAGCACUAACUCUGUCCCAGGUACUUGUCAUAACUUUUAUAUAAAUUAUAUCAUUUCAUUCACACAAUAACCCCAAGAGCCAGAUACUAUCUAUAUUCCUGUUUCCAACCCUAAAUCCCAAGGGGAAUAGGAGGUGGUAAAGAAGAUGGUGAAAGUACAGCUAGAGAGGUGGAAGGAGAAUCAAGACAGGUGAGCAAAGAAGAGAAUCACAACUAAUAAUUAGUAAUACAGAGAAGUCAAAGGAGGCAAAAUAAAAUCAUUUUACUGCUUUGGAAUUAGGAAAUCACUAGUAACCUCAGGAAAAACACUCAUAAUGCAGUGAGGUAAGGUGGAGAGAGUGAAUAUGGAAAACUCCAGAACUUUGGUGAUAAUUAGGAAAAGGAAGGAGACAAGAUAUUGGCUGGAAGUGGGCUCAGGAUUUAAAGAUUUAGUUUAGGAAUUGUUUUUAAAGAGAUACAAGCAUGUUUAUAGGCUAAGAUGAGAAUGCAAUGUAAGAUGAGAAUGUAAACAUAAAAAAGAAUGUGAGAAUAGUUGAUGAGGUAAGCUCCAGAAAGAGCUAGAAAUGGAACCAUGACACAGUUGUAGGAUUUAGAGUUAGGCAAGAAAAGAGCUUUCUAUUCUUCUAAAGUUGUGUAAGAAAUGAUAAUGGUACAGACAGGCUUAGAGGUGCAGUUAGGAUUUAAACCAGUUCAUGUCUGAUGUUCUCAAGAAUCUUUGUAAAUAUGGCAAGGCCAUCUGCCCAGAGUUCAAGGAGGAUUGGUCACAGGGCAUGUUUAAAAUAUUUAUUUGAACUUAUAAAAACAAUGAGCUUAAAAAAUUCAAUACUAAAAUGCAACUUGGAAAGCACUUUUUAGAAAAUAAUAAAUCCAAUAAUGAGUGAAGAGUGAGUACUGAUUCUUUGUCACAGCUAACUUCUAUUUAAUCAUUCGUGAAGCUCUGUGUAGUGUGAUGAUUGCUGCUUACAAGUAAUCUCAAAUUUCAUUGUUAUCCAUCAUUUUAAUUUCCUCUAGGACUAAGCUUUUUACUAGAGCAGUUGACUUUUGUUCCUAAUGUGUGAUUUAAGUGGCUUUUCUUUUUUCUUUUGACAGUCUCACUCUGUAGCCAGGCUGGAGUGCAGUGGCACGAUCUUGGCUCACUGCAACCUCCGCCUACCGGGUUCAAGUGAUUCUCCUGCCUCAGCCUCCCGAGUAGCUGGGACUACAGGCCCAUGCCACCACACCCAACUAAUUUUUGUAUUUUUGGUAGAGAUGGGGUUUCACCAUGUUGGCCAGGCUGGUGUCGAUCUCCUGACCUCGUGAUCUGCCCGCCUCAGCCUCCCAAAGUGCUGGGAUUACAGGCGUGAGCCACUGUGCCUGGCCUUAAGUGGCUCUUCAAAUUAGGAAGAAGACCUAUAAGACAGAAAGAUAACUGACCAGGAAAUUAGCAGGCCCUGCCUCCAAACCUAAUUCUACUACCAGCUCACUGACACCUCCCAAAACUGCCUCUCUUCUCCAUGUAUGUAAUUACACAUGAAUCUACUCCCAGUUCUAAUAUCCCAGUUCACUCUAAUAUGAUUUGUCUUUGUGGCCCCGCCCAAAUCUCAUCUCGAACUUUAAUCCCCACAUGUCGUGGAAGGGGCACGGUGGGAGGUGAUUCGAUCAUGGGGGUGGUUUCCCUCAUGCUAUUCUCAUGAUAGCGCGUGAGUUCUCACAAGAUCUGAUGGUUUUAUAAGUGGUGGUUUCCCCUGCUCUCUCUCUCACCUGCCACCAUGUAAGACAUGCCUGCUUUUCCUUCCAUCAUAAUUGUGCAUUUCCUGAGGCCUCCCCAGCUGUGCAGAACGGUGAGUCAAUUAAACCUCUUUUUUGUAUAGAUUACCCAGUCUUAGGAUGUCUUUAUAGCCAUGUGAAAAUGAACUAGUAAAACCUCCUUCUAUUUCAACUCCUCAUCCACCCAUAUUCAUGUAUAGCAAGAGGGCUCUUGACCUUUACAAAGAAAGAAGAUUCAAGAGAGCAAAGUAUUUUAGACAAAUCCCAAACUGCAAUAUCAGUCUGUUAAUCAAUAACUUGUUCUCUUAAGUAUAACUAUCCCCUCAAUGAUCCAGAGCAUCAUGGAUAUAAGGACCUUCUGGUGCAUGUAUUGGCACAGCAUAGAAGUCCCUGAGGCUCCCAGUGAGGCAUAAGAAAAUAUGUGCCUUUUAUGUAUGUGUAUGUGGCUGUGAGUAGUAUGUGGUGUGUGUGUGUAUAGGUGGUAUGUGCAUAUGAUAUAUGCAUUAGUGUGAUACUAAUGCUAUAAUAAUACUAAUGCUAUAAUAUACUAAUACUAAUAUACUAAUGCUAUAAUAAAUAAAUCCUACAAUAUAGUAGCUCAAUAAAAAAGAUGUUUCUUUCUCUUGUGUCACAGCCCAAUGUGAGUGUUUCUGGGUGGUGGAAGUUCGCCUAUUGUGCAGUAAUUCAGGGACCCUUACUCCUGCCAUCUCAUGGCUCUGUAUUUCCUCAGAUCUCAGGUUUACUGCAUCCAGUCAGAAGGAUAAAGAGAUGGCAGAGAAGGCAUGCUCACUUCUUAAACCAGAAAUGAUACACAUCCCUUCCUUUCGCAUUUUCUUGAUUCUAAAGGAUGUCACCAUGGAAAGAAGAAUGAAUAUUCUACAUUUUCUUCCUUGGAAAAUAUAAAAUAGGCCUGCAGCUUUAGUCUGGUAACUUUUUCUUUGGCUGCUUCUCCUUGACUCCUAAGUAGAGGCGUGAUUAUAGAAGAGAAAAGGAGAAGAUUUUGGGAAGAGAGCUGUGAUAAAUUUAUCUAUAAUCCUAUGUCUCUUACAAACAUAUUUCACUUAACAAAACUCCCCAGCAGAAGCAAAGAACUACCCAUAUAAUGACAGUUUCUUCUUAAAUUUCGUUUUAAACGUUUAAAAGAAAAAAAAAAAAUUAACGCGUUACACACAUCUUCUUAAUCAAAAGUUGCUAGAUAUAAUGUUAUAUUUAUGGAGAAGAGAAUCAAACAACAGUAAGGUUUAUGCCUCAACACUUAGUAGAAUGAAUGAGAUUAUUUUUUAAUGUUUGCAAUUCAGAAUAUUUUGCCACUUUUCUUGCAUCAGGCUCCAUUUUUUCUUAAGUUAUGAUUGGAGCCUUUGCUUUUACAACUGCACGUUCUUUACCCUCUACUGCCUACUCCUUUUCUAGUGAACUGGGCUAACAAAACAAAUAAUUCAAUGCACUAAAAUGGUGUCUAGAGUAAAGGUAAGUAGAUUUUGAGUGAAAAUAUGCAUUGCUCUUUAAGAACUAGGUUUUUUGUUGUUGUUGUUGUUGCUUUCCCUGAGACGGAGUUUCCUUCUUGUUGCCCAGGCAGGAGUGGAGUGCAACAGUGUGAUCUCAGCUCACUGCAACCUCUGCCUCCGGGUUCAAGCAAUUCUCCUGCCUCAGCCUCCCAGGUAGUUGGGAUUACAGGCAUGCGCCACCACACCCAGUGAAUUUCGUAUUUUCUUUUUCUCUUUUUUUUUUUAGUAGAGACAGGAUUUCACCAUGUUGGUCAGGCUGGUCUCAAACUCUUGACCUCAAGUGAUCCACCCUCCUUGUUCUCCCAAAGUGCUGGGAUUAGGAUUACAGGCGUGAGCCGCUGUCCCCAGCUGAACUAGGUCUGACAUAUAUUCCUGAUCUUGACCUUUUAAUUAUAAAAAGGAUACAAUUUUUUCUUCCAUUUUUAAAAAUUUUUAAUUAUCAUGGAUACAUAAUAGUUGUACAUUUUCAUGAAGUACAUGUGAUAGUUCGAUUCAAGAACUCAAUGCAUAAUGAUCAAACAAGGUAAUUGGGCUAUUCAUAACCUCAAGCAUUUACUAUUUCUUUAUGUUAGGGACGUUCUAGAAAUUAUAAAAAUAUUUUUAUAAUAGGAGAGUUGGAAAAAAAGUAGAAAGUUCAAAUAAUUGUAAUGCCAUUUGAUUGAAGACAAUUUGAUUUCUGUGUCUCAAAGAAGCUGAGGUUGUCAAACUGGUGGACUUCGGUAGUAUGGUCAUCUGGAUUGCUCACUGCUCACUUAAGACAGACUUUAAGAAGAAAGUCUCUUACUCACAGGAGAUCCGACUCCCCAUUCCUGCAGUCUGCAACUUGACCUCUUCCUCACAGAUUCUAUGCUAUUCAUAAGUCAGCUUCUACUAGCCCCAGAAAGUCCAAGUUUAUAAGGACAAUUAUAGGUAGAGAGGUACACCCUUUUCCUUUGCUGAUCCCACACUAAUUUGCUGUUCUUCAAAUUUGGGUACUUUUCAAAAGCAAAAAGUCACCCGCAGUUUACAUAAACACAUGUAAAGAAAUGUCGUUACUUUCAACCUUAGGAAAUCAGUUGGAUUACAAACAUUUUCUUGUCAGUGGUUCCAGUGGAAAUCAAAUUAUUUAGAAAAAAAAUUACUCAGCCUUGGUUAAAAUUAAGAAAAAAUGUAGCACCCAGUAGUAUCUAAUAAGCCUUGAAAGGAAGCAUCCUGCUGACAUAAAUCUAUUAUAACUGAGUUCUAGUAAGAUAAAGAAUAAAAGAUGAGAAAAUAGGAACAUUCCUUGAAAACCGGAUCACAGUGAACAAAGGGCAAUGAUAAAAGAUUAUCCCAGUGAAUAAAAGGUCUCUCAAUUUAUACCUGUAUGGUUAUGUCUUGUUAUCUUUACUGAGAGCAAGCAGUGUGCUUUCUGAGAUUUUUAGCUGUUAACCACAAAGCUUCUGUUUAAAGUCUCAGGAAUAUAACCCUCAACCACAA